rnacentral:rRNA from 1 species
ACGCACGCUGGCGGCGUGCUUCACACAUGCAAGUCGCACGGAAAGGCCUCUUUCGGGGGGUACUCGAGUGGCGAACGGGUGAGUAACACGUGAGUAACCUGCCCUUGACUUUGGGAUAACUUCAGGAAACUGGGGCUAAUACCGGAUAGGAGCUCCUGCUGCAUGGUGGGGGUUGGAAAGUUUCGGCGGUUGGGGAUGGACUCGCGGCUUAUCAGCUUGUUGGUGGGGUAGUGGCUUACCAAGGCUUUGACGGGUAGCCGGCCUGAGAGGGUGACCGGCCACAUUGGGACUGAGAUACGGCCCAGACUCCUACGGGAGGCAGCAGUGGGGAAUAUUGCACAAUGGGUGGAAGCCUGAUGCAGCAACGCCGUGUGCGGGAUGACGGCCUUCGGGUUGGAAACCGCUUUCGCUCAUGACGAAGCUUUGUGUGACGGUAGUGGGUAAAGAAGCACCGGCUAACUACGUG